GACAAGGAGGAGGAGAAACAGGAAGGUAGUGAAAGGAUUGUGGAGAUUUUUUUAAUUUGUUGCUGGUCUCUAUAAGCAACUGUAACUGAAGGAGAGUAGUUGAAUACCAGGAGGUGAUGGUUAUAGGGUGCUGUUUUUUGGCCCUUCUACACUAUAACUCCCUGAAAGAAGAUGAUGUAGGAAACAGGAAGUCAAGGGCUGCUGCUUCAGAUUGGUGAGAGGAAAUGAAGGAAACACUUGGGAACAGUGGAAGGAAAGAGGUAAAUGAAAGAAAACCCAGGCUGUUGUCGAAAGGGUGAUUUUGUUUCCCCUGGGAACUCAACAGCUAUUGUUGUACAUGGGACUUUUGUAAACAAAUGAAUCUUUGCAAUCUCUGUGGUGGACUCCAGGGCAACAGGCCUGAUGACUAGGACUGAUCCUGUUUCCUCUAUUGGAAGUGCUCCAUCCUGUCUUGAAAAGAGUGGAAAUUACUCUGAAUUAAUUAACCAAAGACCAAAGGGUGUGGUUUUUGUAGAUACCCUGAAACUUAGUUUUGAGGCAAAGAGCAGGUGUGGGGAGCAAGCAUGCUCCAGUGUAAAGUUGGCAGCUGAAGAAUGAAAAUGGCUCUUACUGCUAAAUACAUGACUUCUCUGACUUCUCUUUUAAUCUGCUCUCCAGAAUUCCUAAAACAGGUUUUGCUUUUAUGGGUGUUUUUCAGACUUGACCGUAAAAGCACCUUCAAACCUUUCUCACUCCUUGGUUUUGAAUGUGUGAACACUUUUAAUGCUGGGUGGGAAGCAGGAAGGCAGCACUUCUUCCAAUACCAAAUGAACAUCCUCCCUUUUAUUAUGGUUACAUGAAAAGCAAAAAGUGCUUAUAGGGUCCUAAGAAGGCAAUCUUUGGUCUUAAGGCAUAAUUGUCCAGCAACAGCAAAGCACUAGAGUAUCCAGAAGCCGAUAACCCUGAGAGAGCUGAAGAAGGAAGCCUGUAUAUGCAGAUCUCCACUGCAACCAGAGGAAAGGAUGGCUCUGGUUUGCAACACUAGAUGGCAGAGGUGGGAUCGUUUCAGCUCUGAGCGCUGUCCUAUAAGGCAUUGCUUGUUUAAGUACAGUCGCAUUUAGUUGGAGCUGCAGGAGAGGGAGAGCGAGCGAGCGAGCGAGAUUUUCUCAGGCUGAGACGAGCAUCCUAGCUACCCCCUCCCCUUCUCCCAAUUAUCUGAAGGCGAAAGUGUGAGAUUAUUGAGGAAUCUGGCCAUCCUAGGUCAGCUUCCUGUGUAUUGGAUUGUCAAAGCCUGUAGAACAGUGACUGGGGAGACGGAAGGGAGAGAGAAGGAGGAUCACAUCUUUAAAAGAAAAUAAAAGAGAGAACACAAGAGGAAAGAAGAGGACCCCGAUCCUAAUCGACCGAGACAGAAACAUGAGGACCUACUGGCUGCACAGUAUCUGGGUGCUGGGAUUCUUCUUUUCUCUCUUCUCCUUGCAAGGUGAGCCAGAUGGAUCCCGCCCCCUGCUGGGAGGAUAUUCUACAUUGUAAACUGCACUACAGAGAAGACCCCAUCUCCUUUAUUCCAACACACUCUUGGACUUUGACUUUUGUAUGCAGUAAAAGUUCGGAUCUGCCAGUGCUGCUGUCAUGUUGUUUGGAUGCUGCACUUUUGUUUGUGUGUGUGUCAAUGAUUGUGCUAGGUGUUAUGUGUAAUACUUGGUUGUGUAUGUAAUCUGCUGUGAAUAUUUUGUAUAAGGAAAAUGGGAUACAAACAGAUUUUACAUAUAUAUGACCAUGGUCAAAAUGUUAUCCCUCUAAGA